ACUCAAACAAAUUAGCACAGAUGUGAAGGACUACAUAGGAAAUCCCAAGACACCUUAUGUGAUGCUCACUGGAAUGGGUGCUAACCAGUUUGCUGAGAAGCUAGGCAUACCUCAAGUGCCUGUAGAAGAGUUAGUAACAGACCAUGCCAAAGCUGAAUGGGAGGAAUAACGCAAAUACAAGCAGACUGUCAAAUCACUUUUUAACACAGAAUUGGGUCAUGACACAGUGGGUGCAGUUGCUAUGGACUGUGAAGGUAACAAGGCUUGUGCAACGUCAACUGGAGGCAUCACAAACAAAAUGGUUGGACGUGUUGGUGACACCCCAGUCAUAGGUUCAGGUGGCUAGGCUGACAAUCUUGUUGGUGCUGUCUCUGCAACUGGUCAUGGAGAGUCCAUCAUGAAAGUCAAUCUUGCAAGGCUUAUCCUUUUUCAUAUGGAACAAGGUAAAACUCCAGAGGAAGCUGCAGAUUCUUCUCUUCACUAUAUGGAGAAGAGAGUCCAUGGUCGGGGAGGAGUUAUAAUUGUCAGCAAAACUGGAGAAUGGACAGCACGAUUCACCACCAAGCGGAUGGCAUGGGCAGGAAUAAAGGAAGGUGUGUUAAUGUAUGGCCUAAAUCCAGGAGAAACAAUUCAAGAAAUAAUUAACCCUCCCAAAUAAACUUUUUUGGGGAGGGGAUUUUUACACUGGAUGUUAUUAGUUUGUGCUACAUGAUUCUUAAUGAAGGGUGUUUGUAUCUGGCAUCUUUGAACUAAUUUGCUUCUUAUUCAAGAAGAUUCCUAAAAAAUGACUUUAUUACCUUUAAUAAAGAUAGUUUUCCAAAGCAUUGUGUUUGGUUAUUUCAGAACUUUGAGAAUAUGCUAAAUGCUACAUUGAGUCAGUGUUCCAUAGUAGUGGUGUUUCAUGCAAAAUUCUAUAUCUCAACUGUAGUGAACAAACAAACAAAAUGUGUAUGAUAUUGUAUGUUUCAGCUGCAACAUCCACAUCAAACUUGGGUUAUUUCAGUAAUGUGUGCAAAUUUUUUUCCUUUGCUGUCUAAAUGUAUCAUGUAUUGAUAGUUGUGCAUUUUUAGAAAAUUUUAAUGACAUGGAAAAGUUGAGCUUUCAAUCAAGUUUAUCCAACUAAGUCUUAAUAGCAGUCCCACAAGUAUAUUUUAAUGUUUUUGCUGAAUACUUACCCCAAGAAUACAGAAAGCAGUGGAACUACUUUUAUGUCUUCCAAAAUAAGCUAUAGAUUUUAUUUUCUUCUACAUUUGAAAGAUUGAAAUAUCCUAUUUGUUAAACCACCUUUAUGGUCCUUUCAUUAAUUCCUCCCAAACCCAGUCAAACACGUUCUUUCAAGUAGACUGUCCCAAAUAAACCACAUUCUGGUAAAAAUAGCAUUGCUCUCUUCAAGCAAUCAAAACAAGGUGGGAUUAAUGUUCCACUUAAUGUACAAAAUUCAGCAUUUAAAAAUCAGCUUCACACAUAUAAUUGCAUCAAUACCUCCUUAUAACAGAAACCUUCAUGAGAAAAAGAGCAAAGCACAGACUCUAUUUGUGCAAAGGAUUCAUCUCACAUAAAAUUUCCCUUUGGUCUGUGCAAUCUAUAUAUCUUCACAGCCUGCACUGCAGUCUUUUUUUUCACUGAAGAAUUAUCUGUCUUACUCAGUAAUGAGGUGCACUUUCACAAGUAUAUUGUAUAGAUUUUUGUAACAGCAUUUCAUUGGUUUUGUAAUCUUUUUUUCCUAAGAACAGCCACCCUUUUGCAGAAAUGUCCAAUACUUUGGACUACAGAAAUGUUGUGAGGCAUUCAAGUUUCUUCUAUGAUCCUCCAUACAGUAGAGUAUGAAAUGUUUCCAUAUCUUACUGGUUAUGGCUUGCCUCUCCCUGGAUGUUUUCCAUAAACAAGGACAGAUAUUAUUAAAAAGAUACAUUUUGCUGCGAGUCUUGGAUCACCUAAAAAUAAAUAAGCAAUCAGAUGCUGUCAUUUGUACUUUAGGUUUUUUUCCUAAAUUGAAUAGCUUUGAUGUCAGCCGCAGCAAUAUAGAGGUGACCUAUUCAAAUAAUCUUGGACAGUAGCAAAUUUAGCUUGUGAUGUUUUAUUUUUGCCACACCAACUUCAAAGAUAUUGAGGAGGUAAACAAUUGUGAGGUGGGCAUACUGAUGGUGCACAACAAAGACACAUAACUUCAUUUUGUGCUCACUUUCAUACAAACUCUUUCCUAAAACAUUUUUCAGAAUUAAACAUGGUAAUACUAUUUAAAAAAAAUAGGUAUCAGCAGAGUGAAAUAAAUUAAGAGGCAUAGGUAAUGGAGAAAGAGGUAUUUUCAGUCAAGAAGUGAAAAGAGACAGUCAGUGAACUUGAGAGAUAGUGAAGACUGCACCAAAAACAAAGAGCUGCCCAGAGCUUUUCCACUAAGCAUAUCAAGAUUGGAUGGGAGAACAAAGGGAAGGACAAUACUCAACAAGCUGGGAGUGGCAACAAAAAAAGACAAAGUUUAUGAGGUAGCAUCAGGACUGUGUGAACUGCUUGAAAUGAACCACCAAGUUUCUCAGAAUUUGCACUGGAUUGUGUUUGACUGUCAGUGGUUUGCUCAAAAAUAUCUGUCAGGAGCUCACUGCUAGUCUAACAGUCUCUUAUCAGGGAUUCCAGCAUCCACUAUAAAGUGUGUAGCAAAGAGUCCAGACAUCAGUGGCUAGAGGUGGGAUGGGGAGACAGGAAAUGUACUGAAAAAAGACAUAUUAACUACGUUAAUGUUACACGUUCCCCCAGGCUGGAGGAGGUGCCUUGUGUAUUUCAGGUGUGACAAAGUUCCUGCUCUACCUUGGUGGGUCUUGCACUUAUUGGUGGAUUUGCUCACCUUGGAGCUUCAUGGCAGCCCUCAGCUUUGCCGUUUUUCUGAAUUCA